AUGAAGUUAAGGUUUCUGCUGUUGGGGCUUCUGUUGUUCUUGAUUCCUGCUUCCAGCAGUGAUGUUGUGAUGACCCAAUCUCCACUGUCCCUAACUGUCAGUCUUGGCGAUCAAGCCUCUAUCUCCUGCAGGUCUAGUCAGAGCCUUGUAGCCAAUGAUGGUUAUACCUAUUUAUAUUGGUUUCUUCAGAAGCCAGGCCAGUCACCACAGCUCCUAAUUUAUGAGGUUUCCAACCGAUUUUCUGGGGUCUCAGACAGGUUCAGUGGCAGUGGGUCAUGGUCAGAUUUCACACUCAAGAUCAGCUGGGUGGAGCCUGAAGAUUUGGGAGUUUAUUACUGCAAGCAAGCUACACUUCUUACUUUUGGUGGCUUAACAAAGUAUCUUGUCCCUUGUAAUCUGAUAUCCUACUUAAAGCUAAAUGAGUAUUCUCAUUGUCUACUUUCAUAUCACACAAUAUUACUAUUACCUCCCCUAUUUUUAUAA